rnacentral:lncRNA from 1 species
GUACAUCAUCUGGUUUCUCUUCAUCAAUGGCAAUGUCUAGACCCUGCUGAAAAAGGGCAUCUAGAACCUCACUUUGCCACAUACCAAAAUGGUCUGUGCCAUCAAAGAUCUCCACGGCCAAUCUUGCAUUUGUAAUUGUCGGUCUUAUCCACAUGGACGAUGUUGAAGCUCCUACACCGACCGUUUUCUCCAUAAUCUUUCAAUAUACCU